rnacentral:tRNA from 1 species
AGUAAAACAAAUUAGAGCUUGUUAGAAAGCAUUUCAUUUACAUUGAAAAUUUAGCUGUGCGAUUCAGUUUAAUUUG